rnacentral:rRNA from 1 species
GACGAACGCUGGCGGCGUGCCUAAUACAUGCAAGUCGAACGAGAGCACCCGGUGCUUGCACUGGUCAAUCUAGUGGCGAACGGGUGAGUAACACGUGGGUAACCUGCCCAUCAGAGGGGGAUAACAUCCGGAAACGGAUGCUAAAACCGCAUAGGUCUUCGAACCGCAUGGUUUGAAGAGGAAAAGAGGCGCAAGCUUCUGCUGAUGGAUGGACCCGCGGUGCAUUAGCUAGUUGGUGAGGUAACGGCUCACCAAGGCCGUGAUGCAUAGCCGACCUGAGAGGGUGAUCGGCCACAUUGGGACUGAGACACGGCCCAAACUCCUACGGGAGGCAGCAGUAGGGAAUCUUCCGCAAAGGACGCAAGUCUGACGGAGCAACGCCGCGUGAGUGAAGAAGGUGUUCGGAUCGUAAAACUCUGUUGUUAGAGAAGAACAAGUGCUAGAGUAACUGUUAGCGCCUUGACGGUAUCUAAUCAGAAAGCCACGGCUAACUACGUG